UAUGUUCUUUUCUACAAAAUCGGAUGGUAAAUGAAUUAAAUAGACUCACCACCCAUAUAAUUACUUUCCUUCUCUUAAAUGGAAACAGGAACAACCUACGAGCGUAUAUCAAUAAAACCUAAAAUAAUACUUACUAAAUAAUUUUAAAAAAUGAGGUGUCAUCAGCCUCUAUCUCCCCCUAUAAAUUAGCAGGCUUGGGUUCCUUCUCCGUAGGGUUUUUGAGUACCUAAUCAUCAUAUAUAUAUCUCUCUCUUUCUGAAAGCCUCUCAAGGCUGAAUUUUUUUUUGUCCCCACACCCCCCCCCCCCCCCCGCCUCAAUACGGUGGUGGGUGAAACUAGGUUUAGGGUUAUAGUGUUAGAUAUGAUGAUGAAGAAGAAAUUAUAAGGGAUAUGUGGUGAGUUUGAGGGGAAUGUUGUCUGGCUCGACACAGUUACUCUCUAUAAUAUAUAGCAUUUUUUGUGGUUUUUUCAUCUUCUUCUUGAUGAUGAUGAUGAAAAAACAGAACAUAAUCACAAGAUAGAUGAAACUAUAUAAGGGAGUGAAGGCGUCGGACCAGGCUUCAUUCCUCUCAAACCAUAUUCUGCUAGUAAACGAAAACGCUAACUCACUCUUUUACGUGUGUUCGGCCGUAGCUAGGGUUUCCUUCCAAAAAAAACAUGAAAAUUACAUACAAGAGUGUUUGUUAAGGUUUUUUCGUGCCAGAUUUUAACAUCAUCACCAUGAAAGUCACUGCUGCUGCAUCUUCUUAGUUUUGGAGAACGUGCUGUUUGUUUAAUUUCAAGGGAGGGGUUUGAAAAUAGUCUCAUAUGAUAGAGAGAAUAUUGUGCUCUUUAAUUUAAUUAUUUAGGCCUUUUUAUGUAAUCAGCAGUGAUGCAAAUUAAUGACUAAGUAAUUGUUCAAUUUUUUUUUCCUUAUUUUAUGUCUCAUGUAAAUCUUGCCAGCAGUAAAAUAUAGAGAAUUUUUAA